UGAGAAUUAUUAUUUAACAUAAACUUCAAUCACAUAAAGGAAAUAUUAAAAAUCAUAAAUUGUUAAUUUUAUUAAAGCAGUAAUUGAAUUAAUGACACUUGAAUAAUUUAAAUAAAAGAAUGGAUCCGCAACUUGACCACCUACAGGCUACAGCUGUUCGGAUCGAGUAUCGCCAGUUAGCAAGUUAAUUCUCUGUUUUUAUCUAUUUAGGUCUUUAAUUACGGUUGUUUAUUGAGUUGGCUUAGUAUUUAUUGAUUUAUUAUUUUUAUUAUUUAUGAAUCUUUGACUCUUUUUGGUGAUGGAAAUCAAAUCAGAGCUUGUGGUUGUUAUGAUGUUGUUGGCUAAUCACUCGUUAAUUUAGGCGUUUAAUUUGGGCAUGUGAUUUCCUCUUGUUUGGACUCAUGCUUUGUGUCGCUUUGCUGUUGUUUUUUGAAAUUUUGGGGGGCGUAGUAUUGCAGCUAGCUGAUUAGGGGCUCAACUACCAUUUUCAUGUUUACUUGGAACCAUUGGUAUCCUUUUUCAAUAGUCUCAAUAUGCUUGUUGACGUCAUGUUUCCCUUUUUGGUUUAUAUUGUGUAGUGGACCUGAUAUUAGUUUUGGUUGAUAAACCAGAUAUUACACAUCCAACUCCAGAUCUUACAGGCUAUAUUACUGAGGGAUAGAUAUACAUUGAUAGGAAGCUCCACAAUCGGCAGGUGAUGGAUAGGGAAGAAAACCAAACAAUCAGUGAAUUUUUUUUUUUUAACCAUCCAUUACUGCACUUUUUACCUUUUCAUGAUAGAGACUCCUCUAGAAGAUUUUGUUGUUACUGCAUCAUUCUCAAAUAUCAAUGCCAGACUGCCUUUUUUUUUAAUAUUUUUUUUAUGUUGCUGGUGAGAGAGAUGCUCUUAACAUACUUGUUUAUGCUAGACUAACAUAUUCUAUUAUUUUGUAGAUUAAAUGUUCUCUGAGCUUAAUGCCUAAGUUAUAUAUGGUCAGUGGUUUUUUAUUUGCAAGGUGCAAAAAGUUGAAUUUCUAAUGAAGGAAUGGAGAUACUUCGUUCAUUAUCUUGGGUGGAACAAAAAUUCUAUUAGAAGAGGGAGGGUGGGAGGUUUGCUUUUGGAGUUUCAAUGGAGAAGAAGAGGUACUUCCCAAUUUUAGCAUGCCAUACUGUACUGGGUAUGGCUCUUUCUUUCUCUCAACUAGAGAGGGAAACGAAGAAUCAAUGAGGAGCUGUGGAAAGAAUUCAAAUCUUGGAGUCUGAUCGUACGGAAUACAAUGCCAAAGUCGACCUCUUGAUGCAGCAGAUCAGUCGAAGAGGACCCUCUAUUGAUUCUUUUUCUUAGUAAUUCAUCUUUUGAGAUCUACAUUCGAUUUCCUUUGUGGGUUUCUAUACUAGUUUUAUGAGUAUGCACUUUGUUGAACAUGAAUUCAUAGCUUAGCAUCAAUAAUUGCAGAUCAAUAAUUGCAGUUCACUAGUGGACCAUUAAGCCUUAAUUGUAAGUACUCUACAUCUCUAAGGAAGCAUAAUUGAAUAACUUUAGGAGGAAAAAUUAAAAUGGUUGAUUAUUCAUAACUUUAGCCUAAAAAAGCUUUAACCACCAGUAAUGUAUUGUAUGUAUAUGCAAAUUUAUUCCUCCGAAGUAGCUAUAGUUAAUUUUUU